rnacentral:rRNA from 1 species
GGGUUGUGAGGUUAAGCGACUAAGCGUACACGGUGGAUGCCCUGGCAGUCAGAGGCGAUGAAGGACGUGCUAAUCUGCGAUAAGCGUCGGUAAGGUGAUAUGAACCGUUAUAACCGGCGAUUUCCGAAUGGGGAAACCCAGUGUGAUUCGUCACACUAUCAUUAACUGAAUCCAUAGGUUAAUGAGGCGAACCGGGGGAACUGAAACAUCUAAGUACCCCGAGGAAAAGAAAUCAACCGAGAUUCCCCCAGUAGCGGCGAGCGAACGGGGAGCAGCCCAGAGCCUGAAUCAGUGUGUGUGUUAGUGGAAGCGUCUGGAAAGGCGCGCGAUACAGGGUGACAGCCCCGUACACAAAAAUGCACAUGCUGUGAGCUCGAUGAGUAGGGCGGGACACGUGGUAUCCUGUCUGAAUAUGGGGGGACCAUCCUCCAAGGCUAAAUACUCCUGACUGACCGAUAGUGAACCAGUACCGUGAGGGAAAGGCGAAAAGAACCCCGGCGAGGGGAGUGAAAAAGAACCUGAAACCGUGUACGUACAAGCAGUGGGAGCCUCUUUAUGGGGUGACUGCGUACCUUUUGUAUAAUGGGUCAGCGACUUAUAUUCUGUAGCAAGGUUAACCGAAUAGGGGAGCCGAAGGGAAACCGAGUCUUAACUGGGCGUUAAGUUGCAGGGUAUAGACCCGAAACCCGGUGAUCUAGCCAUGGGCAGGUUGAAGGUUGGGUAACACUAACUGGAGGACCGAACCGACUAAUGUUGAAAAAUUAGCGGAUGACUUGUGGCUGGGGGUGAAAGGCCAAUCAAACCGGGAGAUAGCUGGUUCUCCCCGAAAGCUAUUUAGGUAGCGCCUCGUGAAUUCAUCUCCGGGGGUAGAGCACUGUUUCGGCAAGGGGGUCAUCCCGACUUACCAACCCGAUGCAAACUGCGAAUACCGGAGAAUGUUAUCACGGGAGACACACGGCGGGUGCUAACGUCCGUCGUGAAGAGGGAAACAACCCAGACCGCCAGCUAAGGUCCCAAAGUCAUGGUUAAGUGGGAAACGAUGUGGGAAGGCCCAGACAGCCAGGAUGUUGGCUUAGAAGCAGCCAUCAUUUAAAGAAAGCGUAAUAGCUCACUGGUCGAGUCGGCCUGCGCGGAAGAUGUAACGGGGCUAAACCAUGCACCGAAGCUGCGGCAGCGACA